rnacentral:lncRNA from 1 species
GCUGUCGCUGGCACCUAAGAGACGCAAGCCUACGGCCCCAUACCCGCCUGGCGAGGCGUGGGCACCUCCCCCUGCUCUCUGUGGCCUGUGCGCUUCUUCCCGGCUCCCGAGCACGCCAGGGUCACGCACACGACACCGGGGCUCAGCUGGAGCAGGGCUGUGCACGGCUGCCCAGAACUGUGUGACCCGGGGCGCCGUUUUCCACACACCGAUUCUCUGUGCAGAGAUGGCAUCUCCCACCCGCUGGGGUGCUAUAUUGAGAAGUCUAAUGUCACCGCGUACUUUUGGGAAAGUUUCUUCUAAAUGGAAAUGCAACAUUAUAAACAUUAACGUUUCUGUUUAUGUGCUUACAUCUGUGCGCAGGCGUGUGUGUGUGUGUGUGUGUGUGUGUGUGUAUGUGUGUUUGACUGGGAAUUGAGCCCAGGGCCUUUGCACUGAGCUACAGUUCCAGCUC